ACCGUGAGCGGUUUCGGACACUUCUGAGGCAGGCCAAGACUACAAAGCGGUUGUAGCGCCGGAUAAGUAAGUAAGAAGGUACCCUUCAGACUAGGUUGAAUGAAAGUAGAGGAACCAGAUGUGCCAGUUACGGAUUCUACAUUACCUCAGGAAGCUAUUGAACAAGCUGCAGUUCCUGAUAUUUCUGGAAACAUCGAGAAUGAAGUGGAACAUGGUUCAGAAGAACCAAUACACCAGAAAACCGAUACAUCAGCAUUCUUUCGAACGGCCAAGAAGACAAAUCAGAAUGCUUUUCAGAUACGAACCAUAUUUCGUAUUCUGGAAAGAAGAAGUGAGGAAUGUUGUAUCUCAUAAUAGCCAUAUGAAUCAACAAGUCUAGAAGAUAUUGGGUAUACUAUCGCUAUAAAAACAGUGCGAGAAGCUCCUAUGCUCUUAUUAACCGACGUGCGUACAACAAUCCCGAGUCGUCGCGCAUGGUAGAUCCAUCAACCAUCGGACACAACCUCACAGCGCUUUUCACCUACUUUGCUGGUAAAACAUUAGCUACGAUUCAAUCCAGUAGACCCCCAGUCCCAGUAGGCAUUGAAGCAUGAAAUGGCGUGUGCAGGUGGUAAGCCCAUCAUCAUCGCAUCGUUUCAGUGCAUCUACAACAAUAUUAUUGUGUUGUUCCGUACGGAUUCCACGCUUAAGAAUGAUGAUUUAGCGCGUUAAAGAAAAGCCGUUAUUAACAGGGGAAACCCCAGCUUCAUUUUCAUGCAGCGUGAUUUGUUUUAUGUUCGAUCCUACCACCUUCCCGCUGGAUGAAACUGGCAGGCUCCAGUCAAGCACAAUGGCCCAAUUAUAAAGCAUUAGUACCAACAUUGCUAUGCCCUUGAUGUCCUUCGCUUUACAGGACAAGCAUGCAAGCCCUCGCUCCUCCUGCGGUAAUUGUGCGUUGUUUGUCUGUAGAACCAGCGACGAGGAAAUGCAAACAGCAACAAUAAUAACAACAAUAACAUCAAAUUCAAAUGAGCCCACAAUGACACGCACGGCGCGCAACGUCUUCUUGCCACGUCUUGACGGAAGCAGGGAACGGAACGGAACGGAACGGGGAACGUAAUAAUUGAGGCGGUCGCGGUCGGUUGUCGCCUGGUGAAUAAUUAUUAUGUAAAUCAUUUCCUUUGCUUCUCUAUGGUACAGUGGGGCGUCAGCAGGUGGAGUAGGGGGCGUUUGGUGACCAAACUCGCAUAACGCACCGUUGUGUGGCGGAGGAAAUCGGUAACGACCGAUGGAAAUGGUACGACAAGGCAGCACACAACUGUUGAUGGUGGCCACUGACGGAGGAUUGGGGAACUCCCUUUUCCAGUACAGUGUUGGCGGUAGGUUUAUGGUUUAAGUAUGAUAAUAAUGUUUCCUUUUUGUAAUAACAUUAAAUACAUAUGUCUUUGUAAUGUC